rnacentral:rRNA from 1 species
UACGUAGGGUGCAAGCGUUAAUCGGAAUUACUGGGCGUAAAGCAUGCGCAGGCGGUUUUUGUAAGUCUGUCGUGAAAUCCCCGGGCUCAACCUGGGAAUGGCGAUGGAGACUGCAAGGCUAGAGUUUGGCAGAGGGGGGUAGAAUUCCACGUGUAGCAGUGAAAUGCGUAGAGAUGUGGAGGAACACCGAUGGCGAAGGCAGCCCCCUGGGCUGAGAUUGACGCUCAUGCACGAAAGCGUGGGGAGCAAACAGG